rnacentral:misc_RNA from 1 species
GAUGAAGAACGUAGCGAAAUGCGAUAAGUAAUGUGAAUUGCAGAAUUCAGUGAAUCAUCGAGUCUUUGAACGCACAUUGCGCCCCCUGGUAUUCCGGGGGGCAUGCCUGUCCGAGCGUCAUUGCUGCCCUCAAGCACGGCUUGUGUGUUGGGCCCCCGUCCCCGGUUUCCCCCGGGGACGGGCCCGAAAGGCAGCGGCGGCACCGCGUCCGGUCCUCGAGCGUAUGGGGCUUUGUCACCCGCUCUGUAGGCUCGGCCGGCGCCAGCCGACACCCAACUUUAUUUCUAAGGUUGACCUCGGAUCAGGUAGGGAUACCCGCUGAACUUAAGCAUAUCAAUAAGCGGAGGA